CAGAAUGAACCAAGAUAAACUGUAAG
rnacentral:piRNA from 1 species